AAAAAUUAAAGCUUUUUUGAUGUGGUGAAGUUUUCCCUCAGUCAUCUCGAGGGUCUGAGGUCGAUGAUGUCGUUCACUGAGCAGAGGCCUUAUUUCAUCAUGAUCAAUAAAUAGUUUUGUGCUGGACUCACUGCAGUGGAUCCAGAUCACCUGUGCAGGUGAUGCAGACUGACUGCUGAUGGAGGGCGGUUCCCUCUCAGCCAAUCACGGUGUGGCGACGCCCUUUUUGUGACGGCUUAAAGGAGCAUUGUACUGCCAGCACCACCACAACAGAACCAGAACCACCUGCCUGUGGAUGAACACUUUCUUCUCAGGAGGUGGUGGAGACCAAAACCAGAG